AUCUUCUCUCUAAUUUCGGGUAGCAGUUCCUUUAGUUCCUCAAUUUCUUUCUUGUAUUCAGCAGACGAUCCUUCAGCCUCCUUCACCUGCUCGUUUAGUACAGCUAAAAAGAAUAAAGUGAUUAGUAAUGGCUCAAAAAAGAACUGUUUUCUUCCUUGUUAAUUGCUGGAUCCAACAUCACCAUGAAGCAGCUCGUCUUCACUCACCCAUUCUGUUCUCAAUGACUUCAAUAGAUUUGCUGAACUGUGCCACUGCCUCAUCAUACUGAGAGUUGUACCCAUAAGCCAAGCCCAGCUGGUAGUGGGUCUCUGCAAGGAGACGGUCGUGGGCUUCCAGGUACUGUUCCUGCAGGUUAAGGCAGGACUGGAACUCCUCCACAGCUUGCACAUAGUUUUCUAACAAAGAGAAAAAGAAGAGCAAGUAAAUGGACAGCAUUCAACAUAAAAUACUUCCAGAAUUCAGACCCAUCCUAUGGGAAUGCACCCAUAUUUAACAUUCCAUUUUUGUUUAUAGUUAUUU
rnacentral:lncRNA from 1 species